rnacentral:tRNA from 1 species
GCCCACAUAGCUCAGGGGUAGAGCACUUCCUUGGUAAGGAAGAGGUCGCUGGUUCGAUUCCAGUUGUGGGCACCA